rnacentral:rRNA from 1 species
UACCCGCAGCACAAGUGGUGGUCAUUAUUAUUGGGCCUAAAGCGUCCGUAGCUGGCGUGUUAGAUGCCUGGGUAAAUCGAUGCGCUCAACGUAUCGAAUUCCGGGUAGACCGGCACGCUCGAGACCGGGAGAGGCGUGGGGUACUCGGGGGGUAGGGGUAAAAUCCUGUAAUCCUCCGGGGACGACCAGUGGCGAAGGCGCCACGCUAGAACGGCUCUGACAGUGAGGGACGAAGCCCUGAGGCGCAAACCGG